AUUGACCGCUGGCGGCAGGCUUAACACAUGCAAGUCGAACGAGUGGCGGACGGGUGAGUAUUGCUUUGGAAUCUGGCUCAUGGAGGGGGACAACGACGGGAAACAGUCGCUAAUACCGCGUACCAUAGGAUGAGCCCAAGCGGGAUUAGGUAGUUGGUGGGGUAUUGGCCGACCAAGCCGACGAUCUCUAGCUGGGCUGAGAGGAUGACCAGCCACACCGGGACUGAGACACGGCCCGGAUUCCGACGGGAGGCAGCAGUGGGGAAUAUUGCGCAAUGGGGGCAACCUGACGCAGCCAUGCCGCGUGAAUGAAGAAGGCCUUCGGGUUGUAAAGUUCUUUCGGUAACGAGGCGUUAAUCACAGAAGAAGCACCGGCUAACUCCGUGCCAGCAGCCGCGGUAAUAC
rnacentral:rRNA from 1 species